GAUGAAGAACGCAGCGAAAUGCGAUACGUAAUGUGAAUUGCAGAAUUCAGUGAAUCAUCGAAUCUUUGAACGCAUAUUGCGCUCUCUGGUAUUCCGGAGAGCAUGCUUGUUUGAGUAUCAGUAAACACCUCAACUUCCAUAUCUUUUUUGAAAUGGGAGUUGGACUUGAGUGAUCCCAACGCUUUUCCUCACCGAAAAGUGGCGGGUUACUUGAAAUGCAGGUGCAGCUGGACUUUUCUCUGAGCUAUAAGCAUAUCUAUUUAGUCUGCCUAAAAAACAGAUUAUUACCUUUGCUGCAGCUAACAUAAAGGAGAUUAGUUCUUGUGCUGACUGAUGCAGGAUUCACAAAGACAGCUUCGGCCGACUUUGUAAACUCGAUCUCAAAUCAAGUAAGACUACCCGCUUAACUUAAGCAUAUCAAUAAGCGGAGGA
rnacentral:misc_RNA from 1 species